UGAGCUCGCAUUUUUAUUGUUGAGUGAGUUGAAAGAACAAUUGUAUACCCUUUCUCUCUUUUGGCCCUCUCAUUUGAGGGGGAUUAAUAUUUUCUUCUUGUUAUCAUUACCAGUUUACAGAUGAAGAAACUGAGAUACAAAGAGCUUAUGGGUGUUAUUCAAGGACACAAAGCUGACAUGUGGUUCUCUGUUAUUGAAUGAGAUCGAUUUAAAAAAUUACAUCAAGGCGUGUUUGUUAUAUGAAUGGGCCUAAAAGGGCAGGAGGAGUGAAUCGUGAUGCCAGAGGUUGAUGAAAGCAGGAAUACAAAAAGAGUUGUCUGGCCAGAGCUGUGACUAUAGGUAGAGAAAGAACACAGCUGCUGUCUGAACUGCGGACAGGUUGUCUCCCAGGGGAGUUAAUUUGCCCACACGGCUGGUUGUUCCGGCAUCAGAGCAAGCCCCGUGGAGUGAGAAAGUCCUCAGGAGGAGCAGCAAAGAGUGACAGGCACCUGAGUUGUCAGAAGCUGAAGCUGUCUUCCCAGCUGUAGAAAAUAGCUGUGGCACUACCCACCCCCUACUGCCAUCAUUAAGAGCACAUGGGCUCCGUGUCUACCUCUGUCCUGAGCCAAUGUUCAGGACAACGUCCAGGACUGUGGUCCUGGAAUUUCCAAUGUACUCUGGGACCAAGAUUGUCUGGAUUAUAACAAAUUUUGGCACAAGUGUGUUGAAAACACAUGAGAGAAAACCAAAGGGAUAAAAAUGGUGAAUUCUGUACAAUUCAUUCAUUUGUUCAUUCAUUCAUUCAUAAAUUGACUCAAAUAUUACUGAUCGAGCAACACAGUUCUAGACUCACGGUAGGUCCUUAGUGUUUGUGGGAUUGCCCAGACAGGGACAGGUACAGAAGUAUGUCCCCCAGGGCUACUGAGAGCCAGGUGGGGAAGACUGGUGUACUCCACCCUUAUUUUCCUCCCACUCAACUCAAGGUGCAGACUCCUCAUGGCUCAGGAUGGAUGGAGUUCAGUUGGGAAAAGUGCAUUCUUUUUUUUUUUUUU